CCCUUAGAUGUUCUGGGCCGCACGCGUGCUACACUGAGUGGAUCAGCGGGUCAGGUUGCGCGAAAGCGUUUCCUAAUCUUUAAAUCCACUCGUGAUGGGGAUUGACGGUUGCAAUUUUCUGUCAUGAACGAGGAAUACCUUGUAAGCGCGGGUCAUCAUCCCGCGCUGAAUACGUCCCUGCCCUUUGUACACACCGCCCGUCGCUCCUACCGAUUGAGUGGUCCGGUGAGGCUUUGGGAUCUGAGCGGAAAGAGCGUUUCGCUGUUUCUGCUCGGAAAACUCAGUCGAACCUUAUCAUUUAGAGGAAGGAGAAGUCGUAACA
rnacentral:rRNA from 1 species